AGAAAACGUAUUUCAGAUGGCUAUAAGAGUACAGUCUGAGCCGGUCACGGUGGCUGACGCCUGUAAUCCCAGCACUCUGGGAGGGCGAGGCGGAUGGAUCAUGAGGUCAGGAGAUUGAGACCAUUGUGGCUAAUAUGGUGAAACCCCUUCUCUACUAAAAAUACAAAAAAUUAGCCAGGCGUGGUGGCAGGCACCUGUAAUCCCAGCUACUCGGGAGGCUGAGGCAGGGGAAUCACUUGAACCUGGGAGGCGGAGGUUGCAGUGAGCCAAGAUCACGUCAUUGCACUCCAGCCUGGGUGACACAGCGAGAUUCCAUCUCAGAAAAACAAAAACAAAAACAAAAAAACUGUACAGUCUGAUCCAAACUGUUGCUAUAUUGAUUCCUCCUCUUGCUUACUGCCUGCUGACUUCUGAGAUGAUAGUUUCCUUCCCCAUUCUCAGUAUAUCCCUAAUUCAUCCUUCAUUGAGCAUCUUUUAUCAUAAAGCUGUAUUCUCUUUGUAUUAAUAUCCUUACCGUGUUUCACAGGGCAGAAACAGCUGGGCUUAUAAACAGGCAUAGUCCUUUUGAAGGAUGUGGCUGAUCCUACAACAACACACUUUCCUAAGGAUGACAACAACUCACCCCACCCCUAGAAUAGCUGGUAUGAACCGAGUUUCCACACAGUCUAGCUGGCAAUGGGGUCAGGAGACCUUUUGCUGCUUCACAUCUUUUGGUCACUGGUAAAUAUUAAGGGCAUCCUUCAGCACAUGCUGUCUGGAGUGGCCUCCAACAAGGAGUGUGUGGUGAGGUGCUGAGAAUGCAAUGGGAGCAGGGUCCUGUCCCCACGCUAAAGAAGCUCACAGUUUAAUGCAAAUGAGAAGCCAGUGAGAACAUCACUACUCCUGCUGUGCACUUGGGAACUAGAAACACAAAACCUGACUCUGGAGGGAAGCUAAGGAAGCAUUCUACUCUUGAGUUGACAUAAGUGCAUCUGAAGCUUCUGAUCUCCGAUGAGAACAAUGGGGGACACCAAACAGAAUAUAAAACCCAUGAUUGAAUACAUCAAAUUGCUAACAUGGCAGUAAACAGACAUGAGGUGAAGAUGGAGAAGAAGGAAACCCAGGACGAAAGUCAGCCUCGCAUUUGGAACCCAUUUCCCUGAGUUUCAUUGCUGAAUUCCAGAAGGAACUACUGAGAUGCAAAGAAGCACAGCAGCUUUUGCACACAUGCGUGGGAUUAGAAGGAAAACCAGUGGAUUGAGGGUCUGCCAAUGAAAGCGACCCAUACUGAAGUCCACUGGCUCUGGUUGAGACCCAGAAGAGUCAUGCAUCAGAAUAGAGGUGGACAGGAAAUACCCUGGCCUUUGUAGGGACUGAGCCUGCACCGACGACCUCAAUUGCAGCCUGUAUGGAGGACCCCUGACCAUCCCCCAGAAGUAGACUCCCAUCUCUUCUGCAGCAAGAUAACAUGCUACUAGGCCUCAAUUCAUUGCUAAAUAUUUUUUAACAAGUAUCUCACAUUUAACAAAAAAAGAUCAGUCAUAUGGCAGCAAAAUACAAUGUAAUAUGACCAAAACAUGAAAGACUGUGAAAAUGAAUCUGGAGGUGACCCAAGCAUUGAAUUCAACAAUCCAGGCUGGGUGUGGUGGCUCACACUGGGAGGCUGAGGUAGGCAGAUCACCUGAGGUCAGGAGUUCAAGACUAGCCUGGCCAACAUGGUGAACCUCUAUCUCUACUAAAAUUACAAAUAUUGGGCUGGGCACGGUGGCUCAUGCCUGUAAUCCCAGCACAUUGGGAGGCCGAGGUGUGCGGAUCAUGAUGUCAGGAGUUCUAGACCAGCUUGGCCAAUAUGGUGAAACCCCGCCUCUACUAAAAAUACAAAAAUUAUCCGGGCAUGGUGGCAUAUGCCUGUAGUCCCAGCUGCUCAAGAGGCUGAGGGAUAAGAAUCGCUUGAACCUGGGAGGUGGAGGUUGCAGCGAGCCAAGAUCAUGCCACUGCACUCUAGCCUGGGUGACAGUGUGAGACUCUGUCUCAAAAAAAAAAAAUUGGCCAAAUGUGGUGGCACACACCUGUAAUCCAAGCUACUCGGGAAGCUGAGGCAGAAUUGCUUCAAACUGGGAGGCAGAGGUUGCAGUGAGCCAAGAUUGCACCAUAGCACUCCAGCCUGGGCGACAGAGCGAGACUCUAUCUCAAAAUUAAAAAAAAAAAAAAAGGCUGGCUGUGGUGGCUCACGCCUCUAAUCCCAGCACUUUGGGAGGCUGAGGCAGGUGGAUUACCUGAGGUCAGAAGUUCGAGACCAGCCUGGACAACAUGGUGAAACCCCAUCUCUAGUAAAAAUACAAAAAUAAGCUGGGUGUGGUGGUGGGCACCUGUAAUCCCAGCUACUCGGGAGGCUGAGGCAGGAGAAUCGCUUGAACCCAAAAGGCAGUGAGCUGAGAUUGUGCCAUUGCACUACAGCCUGGGCAACAACAGCAAAGCUCCAUCUCAGGAAAAAAAAAAAAAAAAAAAAAAAAGAGAGAGAGAAAGGAAAA